GACGAACGCUGGCGGCGUGCUUAACACAUGCAAGUCGAACGAAGAGCGAUGGAAGCUUGCUUCUAUCAAUCUUAGUGGCGAACGGGUGAGUAACGCGUAAUCAACCUGCCCUUCAGAGGGGGACAACAGUUGGAAACGACUGCUAAUACCGCAUACGAUCUAAUCUCGGCAUCGAGGAUAGAUGAAAGGUGGCCUCUACAUGUAAGCUAUCACUGAAGGAGGGGAUUGCGUCUGAUUAGCUAGUUGGAGGGGUAACGGCCCACCAAGGCGAUGAUCAGUAGCCGGUCUGAGAGGAUGAACGGCCGCAUUGGGACUGAGACACGGCCCAGACUCCUACGGGAGGCAGCAGUGGGGAAUCUUCCGCAAUGGACGAAAGUCUGACGGAGCAACGCCGCGUGAGUGAUGACGGCCUUCGGGUUGUAAAGCUCUGUUAAUCGGGACGAAAGGCCUUCUUGCGAAUAGUGAGAAGGAUUGACGGUACCGGAAUAGAAAGCCACGGCUAACUACGUG
rnacentral:rRNA from 1 species